AUGCCAUGGUGUGGACAUUUCUUUAACAGCUCUUUAAACCUCUCCAUGCAUCGAGAACAACUUCAUUGUCCAUUUGUUUAAACAGACAUAUUUCAUUUCUGGACUU